rnacentral:lncRNA from 1 species
CAAGCUUGGCUACGCAGGCAACACUGAGCCCCAGUUCAUUAUUCCUUCAUGUAUUGCCAUCAGAGAGUCAGCAAAGGUAGUUGACCAAGCUCAAAGGAGAGUGUUGAGGGGAGUUGAUGACCUUGACUUUUUCAUAGGAGAUGAAGCCAUCGAUAAACCUACAUAUGCUACAAAGUGGCCGAUACGACAUGGAAUCAUUGA